UCCCUUCCCGGCGGGCUUACACAUGCAGUCGACGCACCUUUCGGGGUGAGUGGCAGACGGGUGAGUAACGCGUGGGAACGUGCCCUUCAGUUCGGAAUAACCCAGGGAAACUUGGGCUAAUACCGGAUACGUGCGAGAGCAGAAAGAUUUAUCGCUGAAGGAUCGGCCCGCGUCUGAUUAGCUGGUUGGUGAGGUAAUGGCUCACCAAGGCGACGAUCAGUAGCUGGUCUGAGAGGAUGAUCAGCCACAUUGGGACUGAGACACGGCCCAAACUCCUACGGGAGGCAGCAGUGGGGAAUAUUGGACAAUGGGCGCAAGCCUGAUCCAGCCAUGCCGCGUGAGUGAUGACGGCCUUAGGGUUGUAAAGCUCUUUCGGCGGGGACGAUAAUGACGGUACCCGCAGAAGAAGCCCCGGCUAACUUCGUGCCAGCAGCCGCGGUAAUACGAAGGGGGCUAGCGUUGUUCGGAAUCACUGGGCGUAAAGGGCGCGUAGGCGGCUUUGUAAGUCGGGGGUGAAAGCCUGUGGCUCAACCACAGAAUUGCCUUCGAUACUGCAUGGCUUGAGACCGGAAGAGGUUAGUGGAACUGCGAGUGUAGAGGUGAAAUUCGUAGAUAUUCGCAAGAACACCAGGUGGCGAAGGCGGCUGACUGGUCCGGAUCUGACGCUGAGGCGCGAAAGCGUGGGGAGCAAACAGGAUUAGAUACCCUGGUAGUCCACGCCGUAAACGAUGAAUGCCAAGCCGUUGGCGAGCUUGCUCAUCAGUGGCGCACUAACGCUUUAAAGCAUUCCGCCUGGGGAGUACGGUCGCAGAUUAAAACUCAAAGAAUUGAACGGGGGCCGCAAAGCGGUGGAGCAUGUGGUUAAUUCGAGUCACCGCGCAGAACUUUACAGCCCUUGGACGUGCUCAGUAAUGCACCUUAGAGACAAGGCUUCUUCACUUUCGUCCUGUCUGCAACCAAGCGUGCUUGCAUAGACAUUUCGUCCAACUCGCUGCU
rnacentral:rRNA from 1 species